AUCUCGGAAGCAAGCAGGCCGAGAAAUCAAAGCAACACAGCCACGGGAAAAACACCCCAGCACGAAAAAACAGAGGCCGACUGGACUCCAAAGGGGUAAAGCACAAAAAUCAGUAACUCCAUCAUAAAUUCUAAUGCAUCAAAUUCAGCCCCCAUUAAAUACAAGCCACGGUUUUCCAAGAGACAAGAAGAAGGGGGAAAGGGGAAGGGACAAGGCCACUCCAAAAGUAGUUCUUCUUAAUGAGCUACUAAACUCCAGCUUCAAGCAACUAAAAGAACAAGCUCAAUACCAUGUGCUCCAAAACAGCCAACCCGUGAACCAUCAGCAGCCAAGGACCAAUCAUGCCAGUAAAUCAAAGGUCUACCAAGUCCUAUGCACAACCUACCAUGAUCAUUAGAUGCUUUCCCAUCAUUGGAUAGCUAAAAAGAAAAUCAAAUAAAAUAGAAAACAAAAUAUACUAUUGUUCAAAUAAAAUAAAAAGUACAGUAAUUCUUGAUAGCAUCA